rnacentral:rRNA from 1 species
GGACCGGGAUAACCCUGGGAAACUGGGGCUAAUACUGGAUAGGCAAUUAUUCCUGCAAUGGUUUUUUGUUUAAAUGUUUUUUCGCCUAAGGAUGGGUCUGCGGCCGAUUAGGUAGUUGGUUAGGUAAUGGCUUACCAAGCCGUUGAUCGGUACGGGUUGUGAGAGCAAGAGCCCGGAGAUGGAACCUGAGACAAGGUUCCAGGCCCUACGGGGUGCAGCAGGCGCGAAACCUCCGCAAUGUGAGAAAUCGCGACGGGGGGAUCCCAAGUGCCAUUCUUAACGGGAUGGCUUUUCAUUAGUGUAAAGAGCUUUUGGAAUAAGAGCUGGGCAAGACCGGUGCCAGCCGCCGCGGUAACACCGGCAGCUCUAGUGGUAACAAUUUUUAUUGGGCCUAAAGCGUCCGUAGCCGGUUUAAUAAGUCUCUGGUGAAAUCCUGUAGCUUAACUGUGGGAAUUGCUGGAGAUACUAUUAGACUUGAGACCGGGAGAGGUUAGAGGUACUCCCAGGGUAGAGGUGAAAUUCUGUAAUCCUGGGAGGACCGCCUGUUGCGAAGGCGUCUAACUGGAACGGUUCUGACGGUGAGGGACGAAAGUUAGGGGCGCGAACCGGAUUAGAUACCCGGGUAGUCCUAACUGUAAACGAUGCGGACUUGGUGUUGGGGUGGCUUUGAGCUGCUCCAGUGCCGAAGGGAAGCUGUUAAGUCCGCCGCCUGGGAAGUACGGUCGCAAGACUGAAACUUAA